rnacentral:miRNA from 1 species
GUACUUGUGGCUUGUAUCCAA